rnacentral:rRNA from 1 species
CCUACGGGUGGCUGCAGUGGGGAAUAUGGGACAAUGGGGGCAACCCUGAUCCAGCCAUGCCGCGUGUGUGAAGAAGGCCCUCGGGUUGUAAAGCACUUUCAGUGAGGAAGAACGCCUGGUGGUUAAUACCCAUCAGGAAAGACAUCACUCACAGAAGAAGCACCGGCUAACUCCGUGCCAGCAGCCGCGGUAAUACGGAGGGUGCGAGCGUUAAUCGGAAUUACUGGGCGUAAAGCGCGCGUAGGUGGCUUGAUAAGCCGGUUGUGAAAGCCCCGGGCUCAACCUGGGAACGGCAUCCGGACCUGUCAAGCUAGAGUGCAGGAGAGGAAGGUAGAAUUCCCGGUGUAGCGGUGAAAUGCGUAGAGUGCGGGAGGAAUACCAGUGGCGAAGGCGGCCUUCUGGACUGACACUGACACUGAGGUGCGAAAGCGUGGGUAGCAAACAGGAUUAGAUACCCUGGUAGUC